rnacentral:rRNA from 1 species
AUUGAACGCUGGCGGCAGGCCUAACACAUGCAAGUCGAACGAGUGGCGGACGGGUGAGUAAUGUCUGGGAAACUGCCCGAUGGAGGGGGAUAACUACUGGAAACGGUCGCUAAUACCGCAUACCAGCGGAUGUGCCCAGAUGGGAUUAGCUAGGAGGUGGGGUAACGGCACACCUAGGCGACGCUCCCUAGCGGGUCUGAGAGGAUGAACAGCCACACUGGAACUGAGACACGGGCCAGACUCCUACGUGAGGCAGCAGUGGGGAAUAUUGCAGAAUGGGCGCAAGCCUGAUGCAGCCAUGCCGCGUGUAUGAAGAAGGCCUUCGGGUUGUAAAGUACUUUCAGCGAGGGGGCGUUACACGCAGAAGAAGCACCGGCUAACUCCGUGCCAGCAGCCGCGGUAAUUC